rnacentral:tRNA from 1 species
GGGGGGUUAGUCUAGCCUGGAUAUGGCGCUGGCCUUCGGAGCCAGAUGUCGGGGGUUCGAAUCCCUUAUCUCCCACCA